rnacentral:rRNA from 1 species
ACGCUCGACACCUACGGGGGGCAGCAGUAGGGAAUCUUCCACAAUGGGCGCAAGCCUGAUGGAGCAACACCGCGUGAGUGAAGAAGGGUUUCGGCUCGUAAAGCUCUGUUGUUGGAGAAGAACGUGCGUGAGAGUAACUGUUCACGCAGUGACGGUAUCCAACCAGAAAGUCACGGCUAACUACGCGCCAGCAGCCGCGGUAAUCUGAGCGGGCUGGCAAGGC